rnacentral:lncRNA from 1 species
GAGUUUUAAGGUAUCCAGGGUGUGAGCAAGCAGAACUCAGACAGCUCUGUCAUGAUGAAGCUGGAAUACAGUCCCUUACCUCUGAGAAGCGUCUCCUGGCAGACGAAACCCUCAAUCACUCUGUCGCUAACAGGACAUGUCCAAACCCAGGAGGUCGCCCCAGACCCCAUCCUGCUCAGUUCACACGCCAGUGGUAACUGAACACUAGCAGAAUGACUGGUUCAUCUCAGCUUCUUCACUGAAUUUUUUAUCUGCUUAAUGAAGAACUCACCCCCGAGGGAAGCAGGACAGCACAGUGUUGAAGGACAUGGGUUUUGGAGCCAGACAAACCUGAGGCCAGCCCCUAACUCUGCCACCUUCCAGAUGUAUGACUUCGAGCCUCACUUUCCUCCCCUCAUAGCACCAGCUCCUCAGAAGGUAAGGAUUAAAUACACCCAUGUGUGCAAAGCACAUGGGAAGAGCUUAACGAACAACAGGAAUUCUAAUAAUAAGCACCGGACUCAUCCCCGUGAAAGGCCAUUUCUGUGUCUGUUUAUGAUUCGC